ensembl:lncRNA
AGUUGGAGGAUCCCUGCCAGUGUGGAACACACCAAUCCAGCCCGCUGCGGACAGGCACCUCUCUGGACACCGUUGGAGGGUCCCCCCACACACCCCGGCAGCCAUCCACUGGAUCACCACCCCCUACUCCUCUGGCCUUCUGGCUGGACUGACAUAUGGUUCCACACUACAAAGACACAGGGGACACUGGACCACCAGACCACUGUACUGGCAUAAAAAAGGAUUUGUGAUCUAUUUUCUUUUCAUGGCUUGGCACAUGGCAUUUGCCUAGGAAAUGAUAUUACAGAGAAAUAGCUGAAAUGUGUUAUGGCUCUACUUAGACUAUUUGGAGUACCUGCAAUAAAAAAGAAAUGUCCUUGAGAAGAAUUAAUGAUUUUGCUAAACAGCCUAUUAAUUGGAGUUAUCAAAUCUCCAAAAUACAAAGGCAAAACAACUUCUGCCUCACAGUUGACUCCAAUAUUUAUUCUUCUUUUGAACAUAAUCAUAUGGAGACCCAACAAUAAUGUAUCAUAC